UGCAUCAGACAUUCAUGCGUGUUGCUACGGCGCCGUCCUCGGCACUGCCGCACGUUCCAUGCAAUCGCCGGCGGAUCUCCGUCGAGUCUAUCGCCCAACCACCGUUGUUGUCCCUCGUCAGAUGCCUAUGAUCCUGGGUGGUAGCACGAUCAAAAUUGCUAAUCAGAUCCAUGGACAAAGAGAUGCCAUUAAUUCCAAAUCCCCUAUUAUCUAGAUCAUGUACGUAGAUACAAAAACUGAUUAGUACUGGAUAUUUCACCAGAAAGAAAUCUGCCAAGCCGCUCAAGAUCCAAAAGUGCAGCUGGGCGGCGGCCAUGCGACAAACUAAUUAAAAUACUCAUGAUUUCAAAGGGCAGGAAAAUAGUAGUGUUUGUUACGGCCAAACGGGUUGAUAAAUAAACACUAGCUUGGAAACCCGUUUAGAAAAGCACACAUCUUAACAAAUCCAGUGAUAGAAAAUGUGGAGGUAACUACCACUAAGUGAUAGGAAGAAUUUUCCCGGAUUAACACUAUUCCUGCCACAACAUCCUCCCGAACUCCGAAUCGUCAGGGAAAAGAAAAAAAACACCGCUGCCCCGACCCGCUACCCAACCCUCCCGCCUCCUCCCCCGAGCGCCUCACCCCGCCGCCGCCCUCGAAUCCCGCCGCCGCACAUGCCCUCACCGGAACCCGCCGCUGCGUGCGCCCUCGCCGAAACCCGCCGCUGUGCGCGCCCUCGCGGGAACCCCCGCCGCCACGAGCCCCCUGCCGCCGUGCGCCCUCCCCGGACGCCCCGCCGCAGCCCGCCCUCCCCGGACCCCCGGGCCGCCGUGCCACCACCGGGAUCCAAUCGCCAACGAGAGCCUCUCCGCGACCCCCCGCCCAGUUGUGGUCGUCGCCUGAUGCCUCGAUGCCGCCGAACGCCGUCUUCCUUCCGGCAUCCACGCGCCGUCCGAGCGCCGCCGUGCCUUCUCGCACCAGUGCGUCACCCCCGGUCUCCUCCCGCCAUGCCCCUCUCCUGCUAGCAGUCCGGACGGAACCCCUGACUAGUUAGGUUGGCCCAGGCGAGGCUCCACCGCCGCCGCGCAGCCUCCUCCCGGUGGGGCUCCACAACCGCAGCACGAAGGGCGUUCAUUGGAGCCACCUCUGGCCGUUCAAGUACGCAGCCCGUUCAAGUACGCAGCCCCUGGAGGUACAACAGCCACAGCUUGUGGAAAUUACUGCAGCAACGUUCAUCGUCUCCACCUCGUACAUUUGAUUUUGUACCCUUUUGUCAUUUUUCACCCAUGUUAUUUCAGCAAGAUGGUUGUUGAAUGCUUGACCUGCUAUGGUACUACAAUAGGGAGGCCAAAAUUGAACUUCACCAAAAUCUAGAAAAAACAGGAUGAGGAAGGGCGCAGCCAAGUCCAAUGUGUUCUCGUGUUGAUGAAGUAAUUCAAGGAGCAGGUGGUUUCAUUCGUAUGAAGCACCAACAAUAAAAUCUUCAUCCCCAUGUUUGUUUCUUGUUUUAUUUCAAGCUGCCACUAACCAUUGGCAUUUUUUGUCUGAUGCUCCACGUCUUGUAAGUGUCCACUAAAAAAACAGAAUUUUAUGCAAUACCAGCAAACAGUAAGUGCGAACUUCUCCGUUUACAUUCAUCUAAAGAAGUACGUAUUUUUUAAAGUAAUCUGGAAGUUAAAAGAUUAUAGUCUAGAGAGUUCAAUCAUUGGAUUUUGGGAAGAAUUCAUCUUACUGAUAAAUAAUGAAUAGAGAAAAAAAUUACAAAAUAGGUUUUGGGCCAGUACUAAAUAGGUUAGGAAUUGUUUGGCGUUGGUGGGGUGUUGGAGCGUUACUACUACUUGGUUCACUUCCAUUUCAAGGGUCUUGCUUGAAGAUAUCUUUGAAGCCAUAAACACAGUUGUUUUGAUUUCAAAUUGCGGUCCAUGGGUUGAGCUAUGAAGCUGAAGUUGUUGUUAUGCUUCUGAAUAUCUACUCUUUCCUGUAGGUGUUGAUCCUGGUGCUUGUCGCCAUUCACGAGGAAAGAUAGUCGGUCUUUGAACGGGUGGGUGAUCUUGCUGUUGCUGGGAUACUAUUCAACAUGGGGAUUCGAUCUCCCUUGAGGUGCAGUGUAGCAUGAUAUAUGCUGCUGCCUCUUUUGGAUUUAUUGUUGAGAUGGUCGCUCAAGCUCAAUAUUGAUUAGUCCUUCCCCUAGAUCUUUCCCUACAUGCUCUAUAGGUCAUCAGUAAGAACAAAAAGUAUGCCUCUAAGCUGCCUGUGUUUAUUCCCCAAAAUAUAAGUUAGUAUGGCUGCACACGGUCAACUGUUUUUGACCAGUUUCUGUAGUAAUUUGUAUGGCCGACAAUUUUCAGCAGUAAUUAACAUGGCUGCGGUCCAUUGUGUUUGAUUUUCAACAGGCCAACUUGAUUAA